CCUGGUUGAUCCUACUAGUAGUCAUAUGCUUGUCUGAAAGAUUAAGCCAUGCAUGUGUAAGUAUAAACUAUUUCAGACUGUGAAACUACGAAUGGCUCAUUAAAUCAGUUAUAGUGUGUUUGAUGGUACGUGCUACUCGGAUAACCAUAGUAAUUCUAGAGCUAAUACGUGCAACAAACCCCGACUUUCGGAAGGGAUUCAUUUAUUAGAUAAAAGGCUGACGUAGGCUUUGCCUGUCGCUCCGAUGAUUCAUGACAACUCGACGGAUCGCACGACCCUUGUGCCGGUGACGCAUCAUUCAAAUUUUCGCCCUAUCAACUUUCAAUGGUAGGAUAGGGGCCUACCAUGGUGGUGACAGGUGACGGAGAAUUAGGGUUCGAUUCUAGAGAGGGAGAUUGAGAAAUGGCUACCACAUCCAAGGAAGGCAGUAGGCGCACAAAUUACCCAAUCCUAACAUGGGGAGGUAGUGAUAAUAAAUAACAAUACUGGGCUCUUCAAGUUUGGUAAUUGGAAUGAGUACAAUCUAAAUCCCAUAAUGAGGACCCAUUGGAGGGUAAGUCUGGUGCUAGUAGCCUCGGUAAUUCUAGCUCCAAUAGCGUAUAUUUAAGUUAUUGCAAUUAAAAAGCUUGUAGUUGGACUUUGGGACAGGUCGAUCAGUCCGCCUCACGGUGUGCACUGAUCAUUCCAUCCCUUCUAUUGGGGAUAUGUGACUGGCCUUAAUUGGCUGGGUCAUACCUCCGGUGCUGUUACUUUGAAGAAAUUAGAGUGCUUAAAGCAAGCCCAUGCUAUGGAUACAUUAGCAUGGGAUAACAUCAUAGGAUUUUAGUCCUAUUGUGUUGGCCUUUGGGAUCGGAGUAAUGAUUAAGAGGGAUAGUCGUGUUAGGAUCAAGAACGCACUAAGAGGGGGGGGGGGUGAAUUAGUGCAGCGGAAAACUUUCAACGUUUAAAAACUUAUUUCGAUUGAAACUGAUUCCGCAAGAAUGGUUUCAACUCAAUCCUUUUCAGAAGAACUUUGAACUUGAAACCUUUCGUGAAAGAGCAAGAUAAGACUAAGGUGAUUUGCAGCAAGGUAAAUCACACACGUGAAAAAUGUCAGUUUUGUAAAGCCUUCGUACAAGUAAAACCGACCUCGGAAGAUGUUUACGUUAAAGUGUUUGUAAACAUGAUUAAAUCGGAGUAAGGAGGAGAGGUAGUUUGCUAUAAAGGAAAGACACUCAAAGUAAAUGC
rnacentral:rRNA from 1 species